GGGUUGUGAGGUUAAGCGACUAAGCGUACACGGUGGAUGCCCUGGCAGUCAGAGGCGAUGAAGGACGUGCUAAUCUGCGAUAAGCGUCGGUAAGGUGAUAUGAACCGUUAUAACCGGCGAUUUCCGAAUGGGGAAACCCAGUGUGUUUCGACACACUAUCAUUAACUGAAUCCAUAGGUUAAUGAGGCGAACCGGGGGAACUGAAACAUCUAAGUACCCCGAGGAAAAGAAAUCAACCGAAAAAGAACCUGAAACCGUGUACGUACAAGCAGUGGGAGCACGCUUAGGCGUGUGACUGCGUACCUUUUGUAUAAUGGGUCAGCGACUUAUAUUCUGUAGCAAGGUUAACCGAAUAGGGGAGCCGAAGGGAAACCGAGUCUUAACUGGGCGUUAAGUUGCAGGGUAUAGACCCGAAACCCGGUGAUCUAGCCAUGGGCAGGUUGAAGGUUGGGUAACACUAACUGGAGGACCGAACCGACUAAUGUUGAAAAAUUAGCGGAUGACUUGUGGCUGGGGGUGAAAGGCCAAUCAAACCGGGAGAUAGCUGGUUCUCCCCGAAAGCUAUUUAGGUAGCGCCUCGUGAAUUCAUCUCCGGGGGUAGAGCACUGUUUCGGCAAGGGGGUCAUCCCGACUUACCAACCCGAUGCAAACUGCGAAUACCGGAGAAUGUUAUCACGGGAGACACACGGCGGGUGCUAACGUCCGUCGUGAAGAGGGAAACAACCCAGACCGCCAGCUAAGGUCCCAAAGUCAUGGUUAAGUGGGAAACGAUGUGGGAAGGCCCAGACAGCCAGGAUGUUGGCUUAGAAGCAGCCAUCAUUUAAAGAAAGCGUAAUAGCUCACUGGUCGAGUCGGCCUGCGCGGAAGAUGUAACGGGGCUAAACCAUGCACCGAAGCUGCGGCAGCGACGCUUAUGCGUUGUUGGGUAGGGGAGCGUUCUGUAAGCCUGUGAAGGUGUGCUGUGAGGCAUGCUGGAGGUAUCAGAAGUGCGAAUGCUGACAUAAGUAACGAUAAAGCGGGUGAAAAGCCCGCUCGCCGGAAGACCAAGGGUUCCUGUCCAACGUUAAUCGGGGCAGGGUGAGUCGACCCCUAAGGCGAGGCCGAAAGGCGUAGUCGAUGGGAAACAGGUUAAUAUUCCUGUACUUGRUGUUACUGCGAAGGGGGGACGGAGAAGGCUAUGUUGGCCGGGCGACGGUUGUCCCGGUUUAAGCGUGUAGGCUGGUUUUCCAGGCAAAUCCGGAAAAUCAAGGCUGAGGCGUGAUGACGAGGCACUACGGUGCUGAAGCAACAAAUGCCCUGCUUCCAGGAAAAGCCUCUAAGCAUCAGGUAACAUCAAAUCGUACCCCAAACCGACACAGGUGGUCAGGUAGAGAAUACCAAGGCGCUUGAGAGAACUCGGGUGAAGGAACUAGGCAAAAUGGUGCCGUAACUUCGGGAGAAGGCACGCUGAUACGUAGGUGAAGUCCCUCGCGGAUGGAGCUGAAAUCAGUCGAAGAUACCAGCUGGCUGCAACUGUUUAUUAAAAACACAGCACUGUGCAAACACGAAAGUGGACGUAUACGGUGUGACGCCUGCCCGGUGCCGGAAGGUUAAUUGAUGGGGUCAGCGCAAGCGAAGCUCUUGAUCGAAGCCCCGGUAAACGGCGGCCGUAACUAUAACGGUCCUAAGGUAGCGAAAUUCCUUGUCGGGUAAGUUCCGACCUGCACGAAUGGCGUAAUGAUGGCCAGGCUGUCUCCACCCGAGACUCAGUGAAAUUGAACUCGCUGUGAAGAUGCAGUGUACCCGCGGCAAGACGGAAAGACCCCGUGAACCUUUACUAUAGCUUGACACUGAACAUUGAGCCUUGAUGUGUAGGAUAGGUGGGAGGCUUKGAAGUGUGGACGCCAGUCUGCAUGGAGCCGACCUUGAAAUACCACCCUUUAAUGUUUGAUGUUCUAACGUUGACCCGURAUCCGGGUUGCGGACAGUGUCUGGUGGGUAGUUUGACUGGGGCGGUCUCCUCCUAAAGAGUAACGGAGGAGCACGAAGGUUGGCUAAUCCUGGUCGGACAUCAGGAGGUUAGUGCAAUGGCAUAAGCCAGCUUGACUGCGAGCGUGACGGCGCGAGCAGGUGCGAAAGCAGGUCAUAGUGAUCCGGUGGUUCUGAAUGGAAGGGCCAUCGCUCAACGGAUAAAAGGUACUCCGGGGAUAACAGGCUGAUACCGCCCAAGAGUUCAUAUCGACGGCGGUGUUUGGCACCUCGAUGUCGGCUCAUCACAUCCUGGGGCUGAAGUAGGUCCCAAGGGUAUGGCUGUUCGCCAUUUAAAGUGGUACGCGAGCUGGGUUUAGAACGUCGUGAGACAGUUCGGUCCCUAUCUGCCGUGGGCGCUGGAGAACUGAGGGGGGCUGCUCCUAGUACGAGAGGACCGGAGUGGACGCAUCACUGGUGUUCGGGUUGUCAUGCCAAUGGCACUGCCCGGUAGCUAAAUGCGGAAGAGAUAAGUGCUGAAAGCAUCUAAGCACGAAACUUGCCCCGAGAUGAGUUCUCCCUGACUCCUUGAGAGUCCUGAAGGAACGUUGAAGACGACGACGUUGAUAGGCCGGGUGUGUAAGCGCAGCGAUGCGUUGAGCUAACCGGUACUAAUGAACCGUGAGGCUUAACCUUACAACGCCGAAG
rnacentral:rRNA from 1 species